UACGGAGGGUGCAAGCGUUACUCGGAAUCACUGGGCGUAAAGGGCGCGUAGGCGGCCUAGCAAGUCUGGUGUGAAAGCCCAGGGCUCAACCCUGGAAGGGCACUGGAAACUGUUAGGCUUGAGUUCCGGAGAGGAGGGGGGAAUUCCCGGUGUAGCGGUGAAAUGCGUAGAUAUCGGGAGGAAUACCGGUGGCGAAGGCGCCCCUCUGGACGGAAACUGACGCUGAGGCGCGAAAGCGUGGGGAGCAAACAGG
rnacentral:rRNA from 1 species